UGGCGCUGGAGCCAACCCCGCUGCAGGAGCUCUGAGGCCUCCCAGGUAAUGGCACGGUCUGCGGGAGACCAUUAAGUGGUAUUCUGCGAGAUGAAGAGGGCACUUCCAGGCUUGAGUUACGUUAGAGUAGUUUAAAACCAUGGUGCUCGCCGUGGUAUUCGCCGCCUGCCAUCAGAACUGCUUGAGAAUAAGGCAGCAAAAACAUUUGAGCAACCAGUUGUUGCGAACAAGAAAAACUCUGACCCGAGAGGGGGAUUGGACUAAUUACUGUGUGACCUUAUGGCUCAAGCCAAGACCAAGACUUGCACAGACUGCAGGAUUGUGGGCUGUCAUUAUAUGAAAGAAGACUUGUUCCAGCAAUUGCUUCUCUUUCCAGAGCCUUCUGGCUGCGAAAUGAAAAGCCUGGGGUGAAAAAUACAUUUCUUUCUUGGACUGAUAUGGGGUGGAGGGGGCAUGCAAGAAAGGAUCAUUAUUAUUAUUAUUUUUGCUGCUGUAGAAUUGAUGUGUUGGAGGGAAAAGAAAUAUGAUGAUGUGCUGUCCCUGAGAAUGAUUUUUAAGUCCUAGAUGCCUUUGCGAGAGAGGUGGUACUGAUCUGUUCUGCUGAGAAAACAUCUGAGGAGAUCUGGUUCUACUGAGGAGCCAAAGAGAAAGGCAGGAGGGUUGUAUCUCAUGAUGCUCUACGAACUGAACUACACAGGGAGGAAGGGAUGAGGGGCCAGCCAAGGCUCACCCAAGGAGGACACAGCCAUCGUCCUGACUGGUUGCUGGGAUGUGAGAAUGGUGGUGAGGAAAGCCAGCAUUGCAGCCUUCUGUAGCUCUUGUCCAUCCAGCUGGCUGUGCAGGUAGCACUGGCUAACACCAGAUACCUCAGCAGUCCUCUCCAGAACUGAUACAAUGGUGUGUGCUCAGGCAUCUGGUUGGAGUGAAAUGAACUUCUCUUCAUGAAGAAGUCAGCGGACAGAAGGAGAAAUUGCACAGAACAGGCAGGCACUAAAUCGAGCUCAGCAGCAGAUCUGCUCUGCACACCGCUGCUCACUGCUGCAGCUGCUAUCAGUACGACUGUCACUGCGCUCUUACUACGACAGCCCUUUCAUAUGAUACAUGAGAUGUUCCUGGCCUGGUUUCAAAGGGCAAAGGGGAGAAGGAUAACAGAGCCGACUCCGGCUUUUGAGCAUUUUGUUUACUGGAACAUCCUUUUAACCAUUCAACAGAGUACACUGCUGGGUUAAGGGAAAGUCAUUAAUGUUGCCCUUGGUAAGUGGAUCAAGUAAUAGUGCCAUAUGCUCUGAUGCAGUAAAAUGCAAUCACUGCCUAGAAGCCUUUGCAUUUGGAAAAAAAAAAAAAAAGAGUAAUUUUUGCUUGCUUUGCAUUACUCUGGGGAUAUACACCAUUGCUUCUUCACCAGUAUCACUAAAGUACCAAAGUGUACUGAUUGCACCUGUGCAAAUCAGAGAUCUAGGAGAUACAGGAAACACUUUCCUCCUUAAAUAAGUUUCUCCACUGCCUGAGUUUGUUUUAAAGCAAAUUCUGCUUCUUCUCUUGUUCAUAGAAUCAGAGCUCUGUGCCACCACUCCUUGUUCUGGGGAUUUGCUUAUUAUAACUUCACCUCUGCAGACUCAGAUGUUCUCUGAAGACCACCACGAGGCUGGGUCCCAAUACCCAGCCGCUGAGGCACAGAGCUCACUAGAGGUACUAGAGGUACCAUGCCAGUUCCAUGAAAACAUCAUAAAGACAGAAAAAAAAAUCAGCAAAUGGCAAAUUAGUAGCAUUGGACCUGGUGUGCUCUUUGUGAGAGGCUCAAUUCUGUGUUGGCUCACAUCUUAAUCCACCCCAGCUGACACACACCAAGCAUAAAUCAGCACAGGGUCUGGCCUCUGUACUGUGCAAACAUUAACUAAUUAAUCCUCCUUAUAGCCACUGGAGGCUGCAAAGGAGUUAUUAUUAUACUUCUCUUCAAGAGUGUGCAACUGAAGCAGAGAGGAUAAAUGAUUAAAGAAAACAGAUAUAAUGAUUGUCUGAACUUGGGUGCAGAAGGACUUUUGGACAUUUCUGGAGCACCCUUCACCUGUUUUUUUUUUUAGCAGUCUCGGUUGAGGAAUAAGCAGGAGAAAUUUUGUGAGCUACUUUUAGAAAAGCUCCAGGGCCUUAUCCUCAUCUUUGUUACACUUACAAAUCUGGAGAAAUUCUAUUUGCUCCUUGAGGACACACAAGGGGUUUACAGGAAUGUUGAAAAUAAGAAUCUGGCCCAUCACAUUAACAUAAAAUGUGAGGAAAAAGUACCCAACAACAAGCAAAGGGCAAUACAGACAAUAGGUUUCUUAUGAGCAAAUUGGCUGUUUGUUUGCCUUUUUUUUUCUCCCUACAUUAAUGCUGUCCAGGCCUCCCCUGUGUAUUCUCAAGGAAAUGACUUUGUUAUAUCAGUGAAGUAUAUUGAAAAUGAAAUCAGUGGUAGCACCAAAUGUGCCCAGACAUGACAAGACUUUUAAAUAACAACAGAAGAAUUCUAUCUCCUUUCCUGUUUGUUCCAUGUUAACUUAUGGAGAUUGGUGCUGACUUUCUGGAAUGGCUGCAGCAAGCUGUAAAUGAUGUAUGAAAAUGAAAUGAAAAAUCUCUGCCCAGGCCACUGUGCACAGCAAUCGCUGCUGAGCCAAAUUAAUAGCUGUUUGCUCCUGUACACUCUGACAUGAGAUGGAGACAGCGAAGCCAGCAGCACAGAAAUUGGCACAACCACCCACAAAUAUCCUGGCCAGGAUAUCUGUUGAUUCUUCCUUCACCCAGUCCUGUUGUCAGCGGUGGAGUCCUUUAGAGAUAUAGAAGGGAAGAGAUCUAGAUGUUUGCAGCCCUUCCUGGAAAAGCUCAGGGAUUCACACACAGAAGGUAACAAGUUAGGUGGUGAUGACACCUUCACCUUCUUGGGACCUCCUUUUUCCUGCCUCCAUUUCCUGACUUUGUUUAUUGUCUUCAUCCCCAUUUUUAUCCAACUGUAUCUCUGUUGCAACAUCAACACCCCUGGGCAUUGGGGCUGUGCAGGUGAAAGAGGCUUGCAUCAAAUGGGCGUAAUUAAGCGAGCACAUGUGUGUGGGUACAAUUAACACCUGGUGAUUAUGUCAGUAACAUGGUGGGCAUGGUGACAAAGGGCAUUUCUGUUGACCCAGUUACUGAAAGGCUCUCUGGUAGUCACGCUGCAGUGCAAAACUGCAAACAGUGAUUAUUAAUACCAUUAAAAAUUCAUGCAAGCUCAGGUUCUGCAAAUGCUCUGCCAUGUGAACAGUCUCUGCGGAGAUAAAGAGGGCAUGACAGCAAGUGUAGAAAGCUGAUGUCCGGGCUAAUGAUGUGCUGGCUACAAGUUGCCCCUCAGAGCUUUGGGCUCGACGUACCCCUGUGCCCUCAGCUGCUGGGCCCACCAGGUGUUUCUGCAAGCAGCCCCCACCUGGCAUCCUCCCUUGGACAUUCACCAUGUAGCUCUCUGCUCCCCCCCUUGCUCCUUUUUGCAUGGGUAACUUCUGCAAGCGCGAAGUAAAAACAAGAGAAAUUAAAAAAUAAUAUGAAUUAAGCAAAAUGCCCUUUGUGUGAUACUCCUUUGCAGCCUAGAAGCAAAGGGAGAUGGGAUUUAAUUUAGGCCAGUCCUCUGCUGCAUUUCAGAUAAAGGAUUUUUAAUCUAGUCGUAGGUUGAUAAAAAUACCCCUCUCUGAUCCUGCAGGCAACUUUUUCUGCCAAUUUUCUUUCCAGAGAGGAAGAGAGGGGAAAAAAUAAUUGAAAGAACACUGCCGCAUAGAAAAUGACACUGACGAAGUAAUGCAUUUUGGAACUGCGUGCUCUGCCAGCUCCGUGUUUACUAUUUUUUCCUCCUUUUACUUCAGAAAUUUCAAGCUAUCGGUAAUCAUCAGCAUGAUUAGGUGGUGUGGGUUUUUUUUUUCCCUUUUUUUUUUUUUUUUUCCACUGAGCUUUAGUUCAGGUACCAGUCUUUUAAAUACAAAAUGAUUUCUCCAUUCUGGAGUGUUAUUUCAACUUUCACAGUACAGCUUGUUCUGUUCCACCCCAAGCAGAAAAUUUUCAGGGUUAAUUUAUUCAUCUAAUUGCUGGAUGCACAUGUGGUAUUGCAGUCCACAGUGAUUUUAUGGACUUAAGGCUAUGGUAAUGACUUAAUAAACAUGCAUGUGUACAUGAUUUGAAGGGAAUA
ensembl:lncRNA